rnacentral:misc_RNA from 1 species
UUGCUGUCCAGUACUGAGUGCCAG